UUUCCGUAGGUGAACCUGCGGAAGGAUCAUUACGUAUUUUUAGGCCGGUCUGACCGGUUCUAUUUAAUCCUGUUUUUUGCGUACCCUUUGUUUCCUCGGCAGGCUUGCUUGCCGGUUGGACAUUUCAACUCCGAUGUUAGCAAUCAGCGUCAAAAAAAUAAUACAAUCGUAACAACUUUCAACAACGGAUCUCUUGGUUCUG
rnacentral:misc_RNA from 1 species